AACGAACGCUGGCGGCAUACUUAACACAUGCAAGUCGAACGGAUGGCUUCGGCCAUCAGUGGCGCACGGGUGAGUAACACGUGGGAACCUGCCUCGUGGUUGGGAAUAACUCCGGGAAACUGGAGCUAAUACCCGAUGAGCCCUAUGGGGGAAAAUUUAUCGCCAUGAGAGGGGCCCGCGUCCGAUUAGGUAGUUGGUGAGGUAACGGCUCACCAAGCCGUCGAUCGGUAGCUGGUCUGAGAGGAUGAUCAGCCACACUGGGACUGAGACACGGCCCAGACUCCUACGGGAGGCAGCAGUGGGGAAUAUUGGACAAUGGGCGCAAGCCUGAUCCAGCAAUGCCGCGUGAGUGAUGAAGGCC
rnacentral:rRNA from 1 species